rnacentral:rRNA from 1 species
GCCCAGACUCCUACGGGAGGCAGCAGUGGGGAAUAUUGCACAAUGGGGGAAACCCUGAUGCAGCGACGCCGCGUGAGUGAAGAAGUAAUUCGUUAUGUAAAGCCCUAUCAGCAGGGAAGAAAAUGACGGUACCUGACUAAGAAGCCCCGGCUAACUACGUGCCAGCAGCCGCGGUAAUACGUAGGGGGCAAGCGUUAUCCGGAUUUACUGGGUGUAAAGGGAGCGUAGACGGUUAUGCAAGUCUGAAGUGAAAGCCCAAGGCUCAACCAUGGGACUGCUUUGGAAACUGUAAAACUGGAGUGCAGGAGAGGUAAGCGGAAUUCCUAGUGUAGCGGUGAAAUGCGUAGAUAUUAGGAGGAACACCAGUGGCGAAGGCGGCUUACUGGACUGUAACUGACGUUGAGGCUCGAAGGCGUGGGGAGCAAACAGGAUUAGAUACCCCUGUAU